GCAAAUACUAAUCAAUAUUCUGGUCAUUAAACUGGGGAGAAAAAAGAGUCCCAUUUCUUCAUAGUCAAGCCACCUGUACUUGGAAGAACCACAGUCCUCAGCAUCCUGCCAGCAGCCUCUCCGUCCUGCUCCACAGACAAAGAGUGCUGUGUAAAUUAGCCCUCACCUUGGAAGUUCAGCUCCGGCUGAAUCUGCCCCUAAAACCUCUCCCCAGGCAUCACUGAAAAGCAAAUCUGUGCCACAUAAACAAGGUCUCCAUCCUCUCCUGUCUCAGUGCUGUCCUGACUGACUGAUGGAUUGAUUCACUCAUUCAUUCAACAGAUAUAUACAAACGCCUGUCAUGACGCCCAUCUUAAUGUCAGCUCAUCUUCGCAAACUGCAUGAGUUUACUCUGAAGAGUGACCACGCCAGCAAACCAGACUGGGACCUUUUCCCUGGCCCUGGAACCCUUGGGACUGAGGAAAAUUAAGUCAGGUGGAAGUCACAUGCUUACUUACAAGAAAGGCGUGCGCAUCAGAAGUGGGAACCAUAGCAUCUCUGGCUCCUCGGCAUCUCCGUGAAUUAUCCUUGGUCCCUGAUCCUUCCUCUAGGGCAGAGCAGGGCGAAAGCUGGUCAGCUUAAGAGGAGAAGGGCUUGCGCGAGAUGGAAUGCAUGUGAGAAACGGAAUACCUGGGCUGUCUGCAUUGGAGCAGGCUGAAGGACUGUCAUGGCCCCAGAGCUGGAAGAGGCCACUGGGGUCACCUGAUUCCAAAUCACACCUGAUACAGGGAUCCCUCUGCUCAAGAUUCCUCACCAACAGUCAGCCAACCUCUGCUUGGAAAUUUCAAAGAUAUUUCCGGAGGACACAGAGUUACCACACUCAGAUCCCUGUCAAGAAUGGAUUUAAUGGAAAGAGGGUGGGGAGGGAUAAACUGAGAGUUCAGGAUUUGUAGAAGUACUAUAUAUAAAAUAGGUAAACAAGGUCCUACUGUAUAGCACAGGGAACUAUAUUCAAUACCUUGUAAUGGCCCUAUAAUGAAAAAGAACAUGAAAAGGAAUAUAUGUAUAUAUAUACAUAUAUGUAUAAAUGAAUCACUAUGCUGUAUGCCAGAAAUUAACACAUUGUAAAUUGACUACACUUCAAUUAAAAAAAAAAAAGGAAGUGAACGGAUUUAG